GGGGGGGGCGAGCACACGCCACAGAGGAGCCAGCGUUAAGGCGCCAUCUCAGCCAUUCCUAGCGCGAGAGGAAAGAGGAAAAAAGUUGAAGUGCGGAAAGCGCAGCUAAGCUCCCUCCCUACUUUUUCCAAGCUGGCUAAAUGUUUAGGGAGGGCACUCAUCACGCAGUCCUGAGCAGCAGGGGCUGACGGAAUUGCCAGGUAGCAACAGAGAAAGGCGCCUGUGAAGAAUCCACUUUCCAACCACUGGGAGGGCUGGAUCUAGACUUCAGGCAUCCGACACCGCCCCCCCGCCCGCCGCCGCCUCUCUCUCUCUCUUGCCCAUCGGAACCCGAUCUGCCCCCUCCAGCUUUGCCAGGAAAAUGCUGGCAGUGGCGCAGCCGGGGCUCCAGUGCCCAAGCGCCUUGUAAAAUCCGUUGCUUUUCAUUUCCUUGCGGGAUUGUGUGUUUUAUUGGCAUUACCCUGAUGUGACUCCCUCCCGCCACUUGCUCUGGAAUGAUGGGGGUCUUUUGGGCUUAUGUUGGAUACCUUUUCUUGUCAGUGUUGUAUAUUCAGCAAGGACUUUCUUCUCAAGCCAAAUUUACUGAAUUCCCUCGAAAUGUCACAGCUACUGAGGGGCAGAAUGUGGAGAUGUCUUGUGCAUUCCAGAGUGGCUCUGCCUCAGUGUACCUGGAAAUCCAGUGGUGGUUUCUGCGGGCAGCUGAGGACCAAGAACCUGGAGCUGAGGUGACGGGCACUCAGGUGGAGCUCUUACCAGAGAGAGAUCUGGACAACGAUGGAACAAAGAUAAGUACAGUGAAAGUACAAGGGAAUGACAUCUCUCACAAGCUGCAGAUCUCCAAAGUCAGGAAAAAGGAUGAAGGGUUAUACGAGUGCAGGGUGACCGACGCCAAUUAUGGAGACCUUCAGGAAUACAAAGCCCAGGCCUAUCUCAAAGUCAGUGCAAACAGCCACUCUCGGCGAAUGCAAGCCUUUGAAGCUUCUCCCAUGUGGCUGCAGGAUAAACCUCGCAAGAACAUUUCAGCAGCCAUCCCUAGUAGCAUCCAUAAUUCAGCCAGUCAGCGUAUGCACCCCACCUCCAGCCCUCCAGCAGAUGCCAAAAUUCCCAAACAAAGCCCACAAUCAGGGGGAGGGAAUUCCACAGUUUAGCACCACCAGAGAAAGGCCAAGAUUCAGGGACCCUCCAAGAGGACUCCUUUGAGGAAUCUUCACCAAGGAAUCUUCACCAAGACAUUAGCAGUAAGAGGAGCUAACAUGAAAGAAAGUCCUCCCAAGUGCAUGCCAAGACAGUCAUGGGCACAAGAGCCAAGCUGGCGAGCUUAUUAAGUAUAUAAAUGUAUAUGUUUAAACAGCCUUAUAAAGGAGCAUUGGAAAUCUGCAAGAUGAGCGAAUAUCUUAUAACUUCUUCCGCAGGUGCGAGGAUAGCUACAAGCCAUGGACUUUCUGUCCUGCUUCUUGUUUGUGGCUUUGUGAAGGGUGCUUUGCUUUAGUCUAAAAGUGCUGACUUUUUCCAAUAUCACUUUCUCUUCUUAAAGCAAAGAGCAAAUCGCCUGUAAAACCUACGGAGCGGACAGCAAAGUUGACCCUAACUUCCAACCACCACCCUGCACCCAAUGUACUCUAACUCUCUACACAAAGGAGCACCUUCUUCAGGACAUACACACAAAAACAAAACAAAACAUUAAACCAAUUUUAAACAAGGAAAGAAGAGGCUAUCACAUGGUUUCUUCAUGUAUUACUUUCUUUGGAACAUAUCACUGGUCUUUUCUUUGAGAGGAACUGGCAUGGUAUAAUAGAACAUUGUUCAACUGGACAUUACAGCAACAUAUUCUUUUCUCUUUUUCAUUUAACAAAGAGAAGUGUUAAAUUCCCUUGACUGUUCAGGGGUUGGUUGCAAAUUUUCAGUGUUAUCAAACUGGACAUUUGCUUUCAUAUCUGGAAAAGCACCACUCUAAGCAGAAGACAAACAGAGCCCAAAUCCCAACUUCAAACUUAUUCAGCAUACAUACAUGAUGUAUGUAUCCAUCUCCAUCACAAUGGAUGGAAAUAUAGGUUUCCCCCCCCCCAGGUGACAAAACUUAGAAUUCAAAGCUGCUAAUUGCACAAGAUGGACUAUUUCUGGAAGACAUGCAAGAAAGUGUUGGAGCCUCUCUUGGGCAUUCUACUCUCAUUUGACUUUUCCUCCCCUUAUUGUUUCUUGCUUUUUUCCUGUUUGAUGGUGGCAGUUACUGGCUCUGGCCAACCCCUGUGGAGCACGAAGGUUUCUAUAUAUAUAUAUAUAUAUACAUCUUUUAUUUUUGUGUGUUCUCUACUAAGAUGUGUUUUCUCUAAUUUUGCAACUCUGUAUAUGCAAAUCUAACUUCAAUUCUGUAAAUUGCUUACAGUAUAUGUGAUAUAAUAACUUCAGAAUAGACAUUCCAUGGUCCAUCCUGCAAGCCAGUUUUGAAUAUUAUCUCAAUGUUGUGCCACCAACGGACAUCUCUGUUUCCUUUUCGAUGAAGCAUUAAUUUUAAUUUAAUUUGUAAUUCAGUACUGUGUUGAAUUUUCAGUACUGUGUGGAAAAAUGCAUUCACUUUUCUCUGGUCUGAGCCCUUGCAGAUGGCAAUGCAAUCCUCUGUUUACUCUGCACAUUAAAAUUUGUUAUGGUC